rnacentral:rRNA from 1 species
GAUGAACGCUGGCGGCGUGCCUAAUACAUGCAAGUCGUACGGAAAGGCCCUUCGGGGUACUCGAGUGGCGGACGGCUGAGUAACGCGUGGGAACGUGCCCCAAAGUGAGGGAUAACGCACCGAAAGGUGUGCUAAUACCGCAUAUGGUCUUCGGAUUAAAGCUUCGGCGCUUUGGGAGCGGCCCGCGUACGAUUAGAUAGUUGGUGAGGUAAUGGCUCACCAAGUCGACGAUCGUUAGCUGGUCUGAGAGGAUGAUCAGCCAGACUGGGACUGAGACACGGCCCAGACUCCUACGGGAGGCAGCAGUAAGGAAUCUUCCACAAUGGGGGCAACCCUGAUGGAGCAACGCCGCGUGCAGGAUGAAGGUUUUCGGAUCGUAAACUGCUUUUAUAAGUGAAGAAUAUGACGGUAACUUAUGAAUAAGGAUCGGCUAACUACGUGCCAGCCGCCGCCGUAA